GUUUAUAAUUAAUUUCAGUAGUGUUUUCAGCUCAGUUCCCUGCAUCUCAGUAACCUCAUCGACAAAAUAAAAAGAUUUGGAUGAAUAAUUUUGAGGAAUAAUUCUGUUCCCAAAAUAUCCUUCUUAUAUUUAUAUAGUUUAAAUAGACUAUUUUUUUCUUCUUUAACUUGGUAGCCCACUUUAAUUGGCACCUGAAGCAAGAUUUUCUUUCAAUGUUUAUGAUGUUUCACUAUCAACUUUUUCUGUAAUUAUAUUCCCACGUUUUAUUUUACUUUUUAAAAUUGUGAUAUAAUUGACAUAUAAGUUUAUAUUAGUUGCAGGUAUACAACAUAAUGAUUUGAUGUAUGUGUUUAUUGAAAAAUGAUCACCACAAUAGGUUUAGCUAACAUCCAUUGGCACACAGUUAUAAUUUUUUUUUCCUGUGAUAAAAACUUUUAAGAUCUACUCUCUUAGCAACUUUCAAAUACAAAACGCCUAUUAUUACCUGUAGCCCCAGAUUUUAAAGGACACUAUCUAUUCCCAUCUUUUUGGCCAUAGAGGAUAGUUCCUUUUCAUGAUCCAUAAGUUGGCAAACCACUGAUGAAUUUUGAUCAUUUAUGCAAAGUGUGUCUCUCUCUCCAUUGAGGUAAAGUUCAUUUACUCACAUCUGACAUUUGUCACAGAAGAGACAUCCGUGCUUCAGAAGGUCCAGAGAGCAUCCAAAGUGUUCAUAGUGAUGUGGAGAUGGCUGUCACGCAAACAGACAAUGACGUUUAGGAAUCAGUCUGGAAAGAUGAUUUACUGAGUAGCUAAAUUUGAUAAUUUGUUAAAAAUUAAAAAACUAAAGUCAAUAAUCACAGGAAGAGGGCACAAGAGAUAAGUAUAACCAUUCAGUGAUAAUAGUGUGAUACUGAGAGGAAACGUUUUCACUGUUACUCCAUGAAGUGCACACUUAUCUAGUUUUCAUUUCCAUGGCUGGAGCUCCCAGGGAUCAAGCCAGUUACAGUAGAAGUCGAAGCCAACACUGAAACUCAAAAAAGUAAACGUAGGGAAACUAAAAGGAAGAAUUACAAUACCCAACCUAGACUAGUACUUUACUUGCAAAAUGUGGCAAGUAUUGUAGUCUGCCCCCCUGUAUUUGUUGUCCCUUUCUUUCAUGGUAAUUGAAACAAAUUACCAAAAUGGAAACCUACAUUUUCUUUCUGUUGGGCAAAUGGUUUCGGGCAUUAAAACUGGGUUUCCCAGCCUUCCUUGCCGUUUGGUGUGGUCAUGUGAUUAUGUUCUUAGGUGAGAUGGGAGUGGAAGUUGGCUCUGGCAGCUUCUCUAAUCCUCCUUAUGAAUAAGCUCGGGCACACCUGCCGCUGCUUGUCUCUUCCUCCUUCCUACUGCCUGGGACACAGCUGUGAUGGCUGUACCACGAAGAUACAGGCACACACGAUGGAAGUAGCCUAGUGAGCGGGCAAAGGCUGGGUCACCGUGGAUUAGUGCUGCCAUAUCAACCCUGCAUUGUACACCUCUGGACUUUACAUGAAAGGCAUCUUCCAGGCAGCGCUCCUCGGAGUUCACUUGUCCUUGAUUGAGCGCCCCUGGUACUCACCUAGAGGAGGAACGGCAGAAGCAUGCGCUUCAGAUCUGGAAUCAGAACGGCCUGGGACUCUCCAAAGCCACUGUCUGUGAGACUGCAAAAUUUACCUAACUUCCCGAUGCACUUCUUCGUGUUAUUUGCUGUGUCAUCUUCUGUGGAGUAACGUGGUUCUUCAACCUGAACACGAACCCAUGAAGAGGGAAAGGAGCAGUGGAAGAGCCG